UGAUUCCAUUCCGAACUCAGAAGUGAAAACGUUUUGCGCCGAUGAUAGUAUGGGGCCUCCCCAUGUGAAAGUAGGACACUGCCAGGC
rnacentral:rRNA from 1 species